UGGAUACCAAGAAGAUAUUACCUCAAAUUUUAUAUGUUAAUAUUAUUAAAUUGAAAAAUUAAAAAUGCCUAUAGCUUAUCAAUAUUAUGACUAAAACCUUGUAGCAGAGUAUUCAAUUUACACAUUUGAAGCAAUUGCCAUGAAUCAGAAUAGAAUGGAUACCAAGAAGAUAUUACCUCAAAUUUUAUAUGUUAAUAUUAUUAAAUUGAAAAAUUAAAAAUGCCUAUAGCUUAUCAAUAUUAUGACUGAAACCUUGUAGCAGAGUAUUCAAUUUACACAUUUGAAGCAAUUGCCAUGAAUCAGAAUAGAAUGGAUACCAAGAAGAUAUUACCUCAAAUUUUAUAUGUUAAUAUUAUUAAAUUGAAAAAUUAAAAAUGCCUAUAGCUUAUCAAUAUUAUGACUGAAACCUUGUAGCAGAGUAUUCAAUUUACACAUUUGAAGCAAUUGCCAUGAAUCAGAAUAGAAUGGAUACCAAGAAGAUAUUACCUCAAAUUUUAUAUGUUAAUAUUAUUAAAUUGAAAAAUUAAAAAUGCCUAUAGCUUAUCAAUAUUAUGACUGAAACCUUGUAGCAGAGUAUUCAAUUUACACAUUUGAAGCAAUUGCCAUGAAUCAGAAUAGAAUGGAUACCAAGAAGAUAUUACCUCAAAUUUUAUAUGUUAAUAUUAUUAAAUUGAAAAAUUAAAAAUGCCUAUAGCUUAUCAAUAUUAUGACUGAAACCUUGUAGCAGAGUAUUCAAUUUACACAUUUGAAGCAAUUGCCAUGAAUCAGAAUAGAAUGGAUACCAAGAAGAUAUUAC